UAAGUUACAGUUAUAAGUGCAAGAAAAAAAACCCCAUUAAAAGUAACAUUAUUAAAGAAAAAUGUAUACAGUCUUACGAAUCUGAAUUACCUACAUGGAAACUAAUAUUUUAUUAAAAAUCUCAAAAUUUUGCACCAACUUUUUUGUAAAACGUUUUUCUUGAAAAUUAUUAUUUUCGUAUCCAAUCGUCGAGGUAAAUGCAUAAUAUUAAUUUAAAAUUAUACCACGUGAUACAAGCUGAAUUUUAAGAAAAACAGCAUCAAUUCUAUUGUAUUAUUAAACAGUUAAAAUUUGCAAUUCAUGUUUUUAAUUUCGAAAAAACGUUAUCCCAGAAUUAUGACCAAAAAAUGUGUACUCGUGAUUUUUUUUUAACAUGUUAACAAGAGAUUAUUUGAAAAUUUGUCACUUUGCUAUUUAACAAAAACGUAAUUUAAAUUAAAUCGGCAAGUUUUCACAGAGUAAAAGUUUAAAUUUCAACAUUUCUCUUUAAAAGGAUGAUAGAAUAUAUGGUCUUAUUAAUAUGAAUAAGUAUCAAUAAUUACACAUGCAGCAGAUUUAGUGCACAGAUGUUAUAAAAAUUAUUUAGGUCCAGUUUAUCAAUGUUGCUUCAUUUCAAUAUUGACAUUUUAGAACGUUUUCAUUACAUUUUACAUGUUCUAUCAGCAUGUUAAUCAGCAUAAACGCAGCAUUUUUUUUGGAGCAAAUGAUAUACUAGUACUGCAUAUGUAAAACAUAACUCAAAUACAAUGUGCUGCAUAGAAUCUGUGUCAAACCGUACCCUGCUUUUCAACAGUUGUUUUAUCACUUGAUCAUAAAAUACUCCCGUUUAAUGUGGUACGAGUAGAAUAUAGAUAUCACAAUAAGAUGUCCAUUUGUGUUAUCUAUGGAAAAAAUAAGAUCGCCCAGUCUUUAGGUAAAAUAUGCUAAACAUAAUUUCAGAUAAACUCUCUAUUUUGUCUUUCUUUUGGUGCUCCAAUACAAUUAUGUUUUUGUCAUCGCAAAUAAUUAUUUAAAACUAAUACUUUGACCAUGAUAAAACCAAAGAUUCACAUGAUAAGAGCUAUGAUACAAUACAAUAAAUAUUUUAUAAAAAAUAUGCAAAAUUAGAAUUUAAAGCGUAAAUAAUUAUAGCAAACACAAUAUAAAACAAAAGAGUUAACUUUCAAAUUAACACAUAAUAAAAACACAAAGGAUAUGGGGUAUCCUUCCAUGAAAAAAGUACAUGCACAGCAACAAAAAAAGGAAUAUACAAAAGCAACGGAACGGCGCUUUAAUUGCUGAUCUUUAUUUAAAAGUCACAGUGAGGUCUUCAACAUGGAGAAAAAAAACAUAUCAUUUCACUGCAAGUUUAUGAAGCGUAUUUAUAUUCGCAGGUAUUUAACCGAAAUAUUUUCUUCAAACCGACAUGACGCUUUAAAAAAUUAUUCACACUUGGAAAGAUUAUGAUAAAACAAGACAUUGAACGUCCAAAACAUUGUCGAAAGAUAGAGAGAAAUCUAGCUAUUGACAAUUUGUAUAAAUGAAUAGUUUGUAAACAAUCAGAAUAUAGGAAAUAGAAAUUUAAGCUUUUAAAUUGAUGACUGUUAAAUUACAUAUCACAUGGCAAAAAUUUAUCUAAUCCUCUCGUUGUUCUUAUAUUUAGACUAAUUUUCAAGACAAUAAUUUGAAAAUCACAAACUUAUCAUAAAAUUAAUGCGAUUUGCCAUUUAUUUAAAAAAAAAAACCAAACUAAACGAUGACUCAUUUUUACCUAAAUUGCAUAAAAUUUGCUUUUUUUUUAAUCUUAAAAAGGCAAUUUCAAAUGAUCGGAAAUGCAUGUAGCAUGUUCAAUCAAAACACUCAAGAUACAAAUACACAAAUAAUAUAACGCGUUAAUAUUAGGAGCAACGACAACACAAAUUAAAACUGUGUGUACAUUUUCAAAGAAACAAAUAAACCUAUUUACAUCAAGGGACAAGACCUAGUUAUGAACUAUUUUUCCAAAAUCUUCUCUAUAAAGCGUCAAGUAACUCCUCUAAACAAUCUAAACUUAAUUAGACAUUUCAAUGAUCACAAGUUGCAAAAAGACUAACACAAGAAAAUAUUUUGAAAAUAUUCAAACUGUAAGACAAUUGAUAUUCAAAUAAUUGAUGAUAAACUUGAUGAUAUUUAUGUUAAAUCGUCGUAAUAUGUUUAAUUUUAUCUGAGAAUUUCCUAAAUUUUUUUUAACUUUGAGUAAUUUUAAUAUUUUAGUCUUUUAAAAAAGGAAAAAAACGCCAUUACAUGUAAAAUAAUAUGCAAUUUUUCUUGAUAUAUCAAUUUCAAACAAUAAUCGUUGGCUCGUUGUUUUACCUGGAAAUGCCUAAUAUUUGCAUGGUACAAUGUUUAUGCAAACAUGCAUUUUCAACUGAUGAAAGGUACGUUGACCAUAAUCUAACCAAAGACCCAAUAGAGAAAACACAAAGUAAUUUGUUAUGGUACAAUAACAAAAACAUUUGAUCAACAUCAUAAUGGUAACUUAGAUAAUUAAUUAAAUCAUAUAAUAAGAGAAACCUAAAUCACGUUAUUUUUUAUCUUCAAAGAAAUUAUAAGUAUUUUCUAUCAGAAACAUACUAUUUAGUUAUCUUCAAACUUGCAUGACGCUUAAAAUAAAUCAAUGUCACGUGCAUAUUACUAAUUUUAUGUGAGACCUGUUUUGUUCUUUCACUAAAAGUUAUCAUUUAAUUAAAAAAAUUAAGGGACAAAACAUAUGCUACAUUCAACAUAUCCAGAAAUCAACGCCACUUUGCUUAUUUGAAUAUUAUACUAAAGAAAUCGGAUACGGGUCACGGAAAUUGCAUUAAAAUGAUAGGGAAUUUUGAAAAAAUGUCUGUUUUAAUUUUAAUUUAAGUGAUAGACAGGUUGCCGGGGCAGAAAAUGAAUAUACACAACAAUAUACACCAUUUAAACGAAACACAAUGACUGUUGUUGCAAAAAUACAGGUUCCUGAGCUAUUUUAAAAAUCGAAGCGAGAGGCUCUUAUCAUUGCAGUAUAAAAUACAGGCUAAAAUGGCUGAAACGUCAAAUUUGCAAACUUCGUGUUGAAAAUUGGCUUACUAGGUCAUUACAAAAACAGGUUGCCGGGGUGAAAUAUGAAACUUGAACUUCCAAAGAAUAAGCAAGUCCAAACCUUGUAUGUGUAGUUGUUGAACUUUAGGUUCCCACGUAAAAUUAAAAUGUCACUAUUUCAAGAAGAAUAAACUCACGAAAGCACGAAAAAUUCACUAAAUUCGCGUUCAUUGUUUUGAUUUUGACCGCCUGACAAAUUUACGGAAAUAUAAAAGUGAUUGUAAAUAAGGACUCUGUGACGGGCAACUUAUAAUAUCCGUGUUUUAAAGAUUUUAAUGAUAUCAAGCCUAUCAAGCCAGACCAGUUCAAAGUACUAUCACGUGGUACAAUUCUCAUUUACAUAUUAUGAAUAUUAAUUAGCAAAACCACUACUAAUUUCUGGCUAUGAUUCGUCUUGACACAUCAAUGUCGCAAAGUAAUUGUUGACCCAUCAUUUUAGCUGGACAUCGUAAUAUUUGUACAGAUCAACAUUUGCUGUUUUUAUAUUAAAAAUGUUUCUCAAUAAAAUUAACGGUACCAAUUUUCCUGUACCAGAUGCAGAUUUCAAAUGUGUUGAAUUACGUUGCCCAUGAUCAAACCAAAGACUCAAAAGAUAAAAGUAUACAGGAAUGUGCGACAUGUACGAUACAAUAAAAUAAACGUUUCAUUAAAAAAU
rnacentral:lncRNA from 1 species